rnacentral:rRNA from 1 species
AUGUUGGGUAUAUCUUAUGGAGUUCUUCAUAAGCUUUUUCUUGUCAUACAUGUUGCCAAUCCUUGUGAUGAAAUCUUAAUCAUGUUGCUUUGGUUGCAGGCGUCUCACCAUAAUGCUCCACUGCCCAACCUUUUCGUCUCGUAUGCUUUGGCCCAUAAGGCACCGUACAGAACAGCCACGCCUUACGAUGAGAAUGACACAGCGUCCGCGUACUCCAGCAAGACCGCCUACGAUCGGAUGGAGAAAUUUAAAGGGAUGGCAAAAGAGUUGAAAGAGCCCGAGUAUGAUGUGACAACAGAGCCUCUUUACCACGCGUUGGUCAUGAUCUCUGGAGAAGGCAGGAAACAUGGCAAGGAAGCAAUUGCAGGAGGCAUGUUCCCUAGUUCCUCCCGUAGCUCUCUCCCUGAAUACAAAGCUCGGUUAGGUAUCUCAAAAUCUUCUACAUGUAAACGCUCGACUCCAGCUAUGGUUGAGAUGGAGGCCCGACUGGCGGAGUUGAGGCGAGUGGCGGCGGAGGAGAGGGCGGAGGAGAGGCGACUGGCUGAUGAGAGGACGCAGCAAGCGGUGCAGCAGGCGGUGCAGCAGGCAGUGUUGGCACAAACUAGUCAAUGCUUUGCAAUGUUUGUGGUUAGUUCCUUAAUUGCCAAAGACAUACAUGAACUCUUCUACCACCAGUACUUAAUCUUCACUCAAACAUAA